UCGAUCUCUUGAGGGCACUAAAGAGAGUCAGGUACCGUGUUUACCAUUCUUCCACAAAGGGGCCUGCCCUCCAAACUUCUGAGCCAUAAGCACAAGGACUACUGAUGUCUCCUACUGAAAUGAUGGUCCUCAGACCUGUAUCUUCUCCUAGGAAGUAAAACCAGAGCCUGUUAGUGGGACCCAACAAGACAUGCUUGGCAGGGGCUCCCACACCGCCAGUUGACCCACUAAGAGAACCAGUCUCUUGAGACCGGCCUCUGGUCUUCCCAGAGUUGCACUGGCAGGAGACCCUCAGGGGUGGCGAGCCUCUCUGCUCUGCUACAUUCCCAGGCAGAAGAAACUGAGAGAUGUGCUGUCUGGAGACCACUGCGCACUGGAACUCUGGCAGGGUUGGCAGACCGAUCUCUGAGGGCACUGAGGAGAGACAGGCACCGUGCACUGCUUUGUAUACUGCUCCUCCCCAGAGAAGUCGGCCCUCAAUAGUCCUAGUCCUAGGAGCUCGAAGACAAUCAGGGCUGCUCUGUCCAGCAGCCCCUGCCUCCACCUCAACCUCCUCUGAAGAAUAGAGAGCACAGUGUUCCUUACUCAAGCUCCAUACCACGCUGCACAUAAUGACAACCUGCUUGUGCACAAAAUCAAAAAAGCAAGCAGAAAAAAGCAAAAAGCAAGAGGAUAGGAAAUCGCCAUCCUCAUUCCCUCCACAAAAUCCUACUGCGAUUUCCAGAGCACAGCUGCCGGAUCUACCUCCGUGAAAGUGGGGCUGGCAUCAUGAGGAACACCAGUAUAGGCUCUCUCCUCAAAGAGAAACCUAGCGAGAGUAAAGCAUAUGCAGAAACAGACGCUCGUCAUGCAAGCAAUCAGCUCCCUCAAGAGGUAACUGUGCGUGUUUUGCUCUUGAGCAGACAAAUCUAUCAGACUGUGUGUGUCACCACCCGUAAAGUAGUUUGGGAGAGGAAUAACACAGUCGGAAAUGUUGCCUGCUCUCAUCCUUGUCUUCACUUGCAAAUGGUAAAGGAAGACAACUUACCAAAAGACUGACACACAGAGCGCAUUGCUGAAUGACAAAAAAGCUGAAGCCGGCAGCACUCCACGUGUUUAUAUGCUUCCUGGCCAGUGGCCAUCAUCUGCCCACAAUGUCUUUCCCAUCCUUCCCAUCCAUGGUGAAUGUUAAGCACCAAUUUAUUUUCAACCCCAAAUCAUGCAGUGCAUAGCUUUUUUCUUUUACUUUUUUUUACUUUUUUACCCACGUACAUAUUCUACCUGGUCUCAUGGCAUAAACAUACCUUAGUGCUCUUUUUAUAGACACUAAAUAUGUAACAAUAUGUUACAGUACAUAUGACUGCAGUUUCCGAAAGAAAUGAACACUAGAGGCAGUACAACUCUGACAACAUUCAUUUCUUUUCACGUAAAUUUACCCAGUUUCCAUUAAUUUUCUAUUUGUCACACAAUUAUUGGAAAAAUAUCAUUGUAUUAUAUUAAUAUGCUGGGAUAUUUGAAAACAUGCUUUUGAAAAUUAGCAUCACACAUAUCCAGCUUAAUAUCUGUGUGUUUUCUUAGACAGUAGGUUUGUUCAGUAGGUCAUUUAAGUACAGAGAUCUUCUUGAGAGGCGAGGAGCUCUGGUUUAAUCCUGUAAAACUAUGGUUCAACAAAACAGUUCAAAUCUGUAUAAAAGGAAGAGGAAAUGGCAUGUUUGCAUCAGCAAAUGCAUCAGUUUUGCAUUUUUUACAUUAUCAGGUUGGUUUAAGGUUGGAUGAGCAUACAUUUUUAGCAACAGCACCCAGAGAUAUUUGAAUUCUGAACCAUCAACUUAAUAAAACUGUGUCAGGGUUCACAUAUUGAACUUCUGUUUUAGCUCCACUGAGUGUAUAUUUCUCUUUGAAACUGUGAUGAAACAUGCAGUAAGGUACAUAAACACAGCGUUGCACAAAAAGUGUACAGAGGUACAUAUUUUUAUGAGACCAGAUCGUACAUAUUCCAGGAUGCCAAUGCCAAGAUUCAAAGUUGCUUGCGAUUGGCCCCCACACAAUCCUGACCUUAAUCCCAUUUGAAGUGUUUGGAAUGUGCUGGAGUCAACUUACUUUACUGGAUGGCUUUGAUAACAUUGUACUUUCAUUAUGGCAUUGUUUUGACAGCAUUAUAAAAUGUCCCAACAUUUAAUUAGUUGCAUAAUUGUUUUGGCUGAGAUCUUUAAAUGACAAUGGAAGAAUCUCAUACUCUGUUAAGUCAACUAAGCACAUCCUAAAGGUUUUCAAUGAGAUGUAUCUCAGGAGUCUGUGGUAGAUAACUCAUGUGUGAAAGUGUUUCAAAAAAUUGGGCUUGAUGAAUCUUUGCCAUUGUCCUCCUGGAAUAUAGAUAUGGGUAUAUCUUCCAACAUGGCUGUUUCAGAAAUAAAAAGCUACACACUGCAAAGGGUAACAAAAUUGUUGGCCAAACAUACAACAUUUCAUAAACAUUAAUCACUGCGAUAAUUUUUUAAAUACUAAAAUGCAUUUACUUAUUAAAAACCAAAUAAACUGCAAUAUCUGGGUAACACUUAAUAAAGGGUUUCCUUUAUAAAGGGUUUAUAAAGGUGUUCAUAAAUGACUAAUAACUCCUUUACAAAUGCAUUUCAUUGAUAAGUUGUUAUGAAUGCAAUACCUGCCAAAUAGUGAGCCAUUUUAACUCACAUUUUAUAAAUGCUUAACAUAAAUAUUUAUUAACACUUAUUUCACUCAAAACCAGAUCUCUUAUUUAUUUCACAAAUGCAGCAAAAUGUACUAGUAUAGCAAGACUGAAGGGCGUCUUAUUUAUGAUUUCCUCAUUUAUAUCUCACUUCACCUGCAAUACUCUCACAUACUCUGUACCAUACCCAUGAUUCUCAGUAUAUUAAUGAAUUAAACAUUUUAAUAACCUGUGAAAUUGAACCUUAAAAGUGUAUACCUGUGAACAAUUUAUUAAUGAGCUAUAAACAUUAUUAACCUGUGAAAGCUAAAUUGAAUGUAAUGUAAAUGCAUGUGAGCUUUUUAUUAAUAAGUAGCCUAUUAAACAUUAGCAACCAGUCAAAGUGAAUUUUAAUAUGGACACACUAAUAACUGAUUUAUUGAUUAUUAUCACACACACAGGAAAAGUAUUUUCUGCUUUGACUUUCUUUCUAUAAGCCAGUUUAUUUGUGCAGUUUAGACUCAGUAAGGUUGUUUAAGCAGUUUUGUUUAUAUAGUGCAUCAAUAAUAAAAAACUGUGAAAAAAAUCUUCUGCGUGUGAGUUAAUAAUUAGUAAAUAUAGCUCUUUCAUAUAUGGUUCACGGGUGAUCGAUUUACAUUAAACAACUUUCACAAGUUGUUAAUAUUUAUAAACCAUUAACAAAUAGUUAAUUACAUUACAUUUAUCAGCCAAUAUUGUAUUAGAACUGUCAUUUUUAUAUUAAAAUCAAGUCAUUUUUGUGCUUUUAUGAUUUUUACCUAAAAUGAAAAUCAUGAAGAUAAUAUCAUCUUGAUUAACAAAUAAAUUAAAUUAAAUUAAAUAAUAAUAAAAAUAAUAAUACAUUUCUAAUCAUUGUUGUGGAUAGGCAUCAUGAACCUCUGCAGAAAAUCAUGGGUAAGGUACAGAGUAUAAAUAUUUUUGUUAAGCAUUUAUUACAAUUGUUACAGUUAAAAUUUCUCACUAUUUGGCGGGGAAUCAAUUAAAAUCACACUUUUACAUGCAUUUAUAACAGCUUAUCAAUGAUUUGUAAUGCAUUUGUAAGUGAUUUAUUAGUCAUUUAUGACCACAUUUCCACAACCCUUUAUAAAGGAACACUUAAUGUGAACAAAAAAUAAAUAAAUAAAUAAAAAAUGCUAUUAUUAUAUGAUGUGAAUGUCAAUGUGACCUAUUAAGUGUCACGGCUGAGGAUGAAAUAAUGACAUUUCUUUAAUAAUCUCACAGGUAUUGACGUAUCAAGACAUCUGUUAGAUAGUUUCAAUGCUGUGAAGCUUUCCAAGUCUUAAUGCUUGCCUGACGUGCUUACUUGUCAAAACCCUCUCAAAUCUCAAAAGGAAAGAUUAAAUAUUUAGACUAGCAGAAGUUUAGAGGAUGAACGUUUGAGUCUUUAAGAAGAACAAAAGAUAAAUACAUAAAACCAUUGCGUUUCGCAUUUUUGUGUGACAUCUUUAAAAAUGACCUUUUACUUCAGAUUAAGCACAGCUGGAAUAGUAUGUAGGUCUUUUCAAAUCUUUUGUACAAGAAGCAUUGAAGAUGAUCUCUUUCUUUCUCUUUCUCUCACACACACACACACACACACACACUAACGCUCCACUUCGCCUCACGGAUGAAAUGUGAGAGGGUCCAGGAGGAGGACUGUGCACUCGUUGACACUCUAUCACUGUUCUCCUCUAUUUCAUCUAAAUUAAGACUAGCACGGUGGAAAAACGUCUUCUUAUAAAUAUAGUACGCCUUCACCUGGCAACAUUUAAAGAGCACUGGUCAUAAGACCUGGUCUGUUAACUAGUCCUGUCAGGAGUUUCUCUAGGCUGUUAUGUCUUUAUGUAUUAUAUAAUCUAAUAUCAUACCAAGUAUAACCUGAAAAAAGCAGAAUUUCAUGUGCAGCAAAGCCAAUAUCUGUAUUUGUAUUGGGGUCAAAUCGUACGUGGACGGGAUCUUCACUGUCCUGAAUCUCUUGGUGAGCUGAAGAACAUGCAGAAAGACGUGCAAACAACACACAGAGGCUCAUCAUUCUGCCCUAAUUAGUUCCAGUCAUCUAAUUUAAUUGGAUGAGCAGUAGCCAUUUUAGUUUAACAGGACUGGGACGUUUGUAUCACUUGCUGAAUUCCAGGCCAGAGCAAUUUGACAUAAAGCUGGGAGCAUGUUCUUUAAAAGUUCAGCUUAGAGAGCUGAGAAAAGCAAGCAUACACUGAAAAAAGCGAAUAAGUCAUUUAUUUAAAGUGCAUUAUGUUGGUCUAAUUAAAACCAUGGUUUCCAUUUUGAUUUUGACUUCAGAAAAAAAAAUGGAACCAGAAAAUACAUAUAGUUAAAUAAAGAAAACUAAUCAAUUUAGCAGUAUCAAAUUUGAUUUUAUGUUUGUAUUUAAUGUUUUCAAGUAUUUUUAACAUUAUUCCUCCCAGUAAGCUAACAGUGUUGCCAAUCUUGAGAGGCAAUACAUUUCUCCAGUUCUGCAGCAGAUAAUAGCACCAUUAAUUAUCCCAAAUGUCACCACAAAAUGCAUAAUAAAAUGACAUUGUAAAAGACAGUUUGGUUAUCUCGUAACUUUGUACAGCUGUUUGUUUUUUCAUUUUUCUUUUUUUUUUAUUGGCUUUCUUUCUUUGAAAUCUGUCUGGCAUGUCUUCAGUUCUCCCAGAAGAGUAAUAGUGACCCAGUUUCACAAUCAGAUUUCUAUGCAAUCAGGCAGUUUUUUUUUAUAUGAGGCCCAUUACAAUAAAUCUAGAGGUGAAAAUCAAGUGAAAAUAUCACAUAUUAUACAUCUGCUUAAAUAUUAGCAGAUGGCGAAAAAAUAAAAGCCUCUGCUUGUUUUGAGGUAGCAGCUGAUUUGAUAUUUUGCAUUUAAUACAAACUGUGAUGUAAGUAGCAGUCAAGUGUGUUACAUUCUAGGCCGACAGUCACUAUUUUUUCUUCUAAGUUCUGAUGAUUCAUGCUGUAAUUUUUAGCUUUGGUGUCACAUCAUUAUUCUUCUAUUGCUUACAGCAGCAUUCAUCCGAGAACUCAAAGUCAAUAAAACUAUUCUUACGCUAGCAGCACAAACCAAUCUUCACAAAUGUGUGGGAUGUUUUAGACUCUUAUCUUACAGUUUGGCUCUUCUACAGCAAAUCUUCAUAAUGUCUCACUGGGACACUUAAUCACCCGACUGGCAACUCGACUGUCUAGACAUACAGACAGUGAAAAUGAGUUAGUCUGUUAGUUUCUUCAAUGAACAUCUCUUAACAGAAUUAAGAGAGUGGUAGCCCAAGAGAGAGGGAUGCAAAAAAGUAUCUUCUUGUUUUAUGCCAGUGACAGAUUAUUAUAUUUGCAUUGAUCCGAUGAGGAAAUAUGUUUCCUAAUUGUGUUUUCAACUAAAGUAGUUCUUGUCAAGGAGAAACAUCCUUUAGCUUUUUCUGGAGUUGCAGUAUAAGGUGUUGAAAUUCAUUAUGAUUCAUUUAUUAACUAACCAUGACCCAAUAACCUGUCCACGACCACAGGAAGUAGAACUAUGAUGCAAUGUUGAAGCAAACAGCUGGCGGUUGGGGUAACCCUCGGUCACAUGGCUUCUUGUCUAAUCUUACAAACUGUAGAAACACCUGGAGUCAGCGAAGCUUCAGAUGGACAGGCAUAUCACCUCUCUUGGCUCAAGGCCCUGCAACUUUUAGCUCUCAAGGGGUGAAAUAUUCAUUUAGCAGAUGUUUUCUACAAAUUAAAAAAAAGCAACAAAGGAGUAGGCAGUAACAUUAGAAUGCUGCAAUAGGGUAAUUAAAAUGAAAAAACAACAGUAAAUGACUAGCUUACAAUAUUGUUCCAUAGUCUCAAAAUAUAGCUUUAAAAGAAUAAAACAAAUGAUUAAUAAGUAAUAGAAUAAUUGCAUAUAAUUAAUUGUAAUAACUUAUCCUUUGUAUCAAUUAUUAAUCAAGUAAUACAGUAUAAUAGUAUUAUUAAUAUUAUUAUGUUUGUUUGUUUUUUUACUUUCAACAUUUUAGCCUUUAUGUAGCUCAAGCAAUGCCAGAUUCAUGUGAUCGACCAUGACCAUGAGAAAUGCCUCCCUUUGAAUAAAAAAACAAAAAAACUGUAAAGUAUCUAUAUAUAAAAUGAAUAUAAAAUAAAUGUCUAAUUGUUACUGAUCUGCCUGGCUCUUUCACCAGCCAAUCACCAUCCAGCGCCCCCGGCAGCCAACCACGAGGCUGAGGAGUGCAAUGGGUUCUUGCUACAAUACUCACUUGUGUUCACCAUGCAACCUCAAUUGUAUCCUUCUGAUCAAGCUAAGAUUGCUUAUAUCAUCUUAUAUUAUCUAUUAUCAGGUGCUGCGUGGCAAUGUACAGAAAAGCUAUGGACCCAGGUUGGUCCCGCUAUGAAAUCCAUCCAUCCAGAGAACAGCUCUAUCACCUAACGAAAGGCACCAUGUCAAUUCAUAAACAUUCAGUUAAAUUUCGUACUUUAGCAGCUCUCUGGUAAGUGCUAUGUGUAAUGCUUACUGCCUCUGACUUCUCUGUUCCCUCUGUUCUCCGACCUCCACCACUUUGACAAGCUAUCAAAUUCACUCAAUAACUGAGAAACCUCUGUGCCCAAAGACAUGUCAAAUACCGUGCUGGACCCCUCCAGUUACAAGUUGUAUUGCUUCAUGUGGAAGAGAUUGAAUUAUUGGUUCUAGAGGGCUCAAUUACAGAUAUCAUUCUAGGCUGCCUGUGGUUGGUCAAGCACAAACCCAUCCUCUCUUGGGGAACAGGUGAAGUUCUUCAGUGGGUGAUGCCUUCUGCCUCAAGAGAGCAGCUCCCUUACCACCACAUUUGCCAUGGGACUGUGCCAUAUGGACAAGGGGAAGGUGAAAGCCAUCACAGCCUGGCCAGUACCCACAUCAGUGAAGGAACUUCAAAGUUUUCUCGGAUUUGCCAACUACUACCGGUGUUUCAUACAGCACUAAUGCCAGCCCACUCACCAGCCCAAAUCUCCUAAAAAAUAAGCCCAGGUCUCUGUCCUGGUCCCCGGAAGCCACUGAAGCCUUUGCAACCCUCAAGUCAGCCUUCACCAGCGCUCCCCUUCUUGUCCAUUCAGACCCUGGAUUACCUGUCAUAGUCGAAGUUGAUGCUUCAACCACCAGAGUAGGAGCCCCCAGAUCGCCAGUGCGUUCCAUGGACACAGAGCACCCCACUAAUUCACUCUGUUCACUGGCCACCCAGAGACCAACGCCAACCUCUUUCGCAUCUAGUGGCAUGUGAUAGCCAGGGAUGCCAUGGCCACCAGAACUCCUGGAACCAGUUCCUGGACUGGGCCGAGUUCCCCCAGAACUCCCUCCGACAGCCAUCUACCGGACUCACUCCCUUCCAGUGCAUGCUCAGCUUCCAGUCCCAGCUAUUGCCCUGCCGGCUGUCGUCCACUGGUUCAGGGGGAAGAGCAAUAGGGUCUGGGACAAUGCUCAUCACCAGAAGACUCAAGCAAACAGCCCUGGAGGUGAUACUCCAGUCUAUCAACCAGGUCAGAAAGUCUAGAUUUCCACUGCCGUGAGCUCAGUCCCAGAUAUGUUGGUCCAUUCACUAUCUUGGAACAGGUCACUCCAGUAUCAUAGAAACUACAUCUACCACCAUUGUAGGUGGUAAGCCAAAGUAUUUAGUGGAUUGGGAGGGGUUCCUCGUGAUGACAUCUUCGAUCCUGCACUACUGGUGGAAUUCCCCAGCACUGACCCUGAUCGACCGGCACCUCGGGCACCGGCAUCAAGUUCCUGUCAAGACAGACAAUCAAGUCAUAUCUCAGUCAUCAUCAAUCAAUGCUUCCAAAGGAUUCAUUACUCACCUGUCAUCGAUCUCCAUACCUUAUCUGUAUAAAUAAACAUCAUUAUAAUUUUA